rfam:Schistosoma mansoni strain Puerto Rico chromosome 3, complete genome
GUAACGGCCCUUUUCAGGGCCACCCACAAUUUGAUCCCGAUAUAC